AUAUUGCACAAUGGGCGCAAGCCUGAUGCAGCCAUGCCGCGUGUGUGAAGAAGGCCUUCGGGUUGUAAAGCACUUUCAGUCAGGAGGAAAGCGUGGUGGUUAAUACCCAUCAUGUGUGACGUUACUGACAGAAGAAGCACCGGCUAACUCCGUGCCAGCAGCCGCGGUAAUACGGAGGGUGCGAGCGUUAAUCGGAAUUACUGGGCGUAAAGCGUACGCAGGCGGUUUGUUAAGCGAGAUGUGAAAGCCCCGGGCUCAACCUGGGAACUGCAUUUCGAACUGGCAAACUAGAGUGUGAUAGAGGGUGGUAGAAUUUCAGGUGUAGCGGUGAAAUGCGUAGAGAUCUGAAGGAAUACCGAUGGCGAAGGCAGCCACCUGGGUCAACACUGACGCUCAUGUACGAAAGCGUGGGGAGCAAACGGGAUUAGAUACCCCGGUAGUCCACGCCGUAAACGAUGUCUACUAGAAGCUCGGAGCCUCGGUUCUGUUUUUCAAAGCUAACGCAUUAAGUAGACCGCCUGGGGAGUACGGCCGCAAGGUUAAAACUCAAAUGAAUUGACGGGGGCCCGCACAAGCGGUGGAGCAUGUGGUUUAAUUCGAUGCAACGCGAAGAACCUUACCUACACUUGACAUACAGAGAACUUACCAGAGAUGGUUUGGUGCCUUCGGGAACUCUGAUACAGGUGCUGCAUGGCUGUCGUCAGCUCGUGUUGUGAGAUGUUGGGUUAAGUCCCGCAACGAGCGCAACCCCUAUCCUUAGUUGCUAGCAGGUAAUGCUGAGAACUCUAAGGAGACUGCCGGUGAUAAACCGGAGGAAGGUGGGGACGACGUCAAGUCAUCAUGGCCCUUACGUGUAGGGCUACACACGUGCUACAAUGGCGCAUACAGAGUGCUGCGAACUCGCGAGAGUAAGCGAAUCACUUAAAGUGCGUCGUAGUCCGGAUUGGAGUCUGCAACUCGACUCCAUGAAGUCGGAAUCGCUAGUAAUCGCGUAUCAGAAUGACGCGGUGAAUACGUUCCCGGGCCUUGUACACACCGCCCGUCACACCAUGGGAGUGGGUUGCUCCAGAAGUAGAUAGUCUAACCCUCGGGAGGACGUUUACCACGGAGUGAUUCAUGACUGGGGUGAAGUCGUAACAAGGUAACC
rnacentral:rRNA from 1 species